CAGAUGGGUCGCCGCUUUUGCUGAUAUCGAUUUAUGAUAAUCGUAAAAAGAUGAGCCCCCGUACUUAACGCCCAAAUCCACCACUUUAUGGAGAUAGAGGUCCAGUUCCUCUCUCCUGUGGGGAUAUACCGAGCAGAUGACAUCCCGGUAUAUCCCGAAGGCCAACACGAAAUUGGGAAUUGACAACUUUUUGUUGAGCCUUGGGUCUCUGGUUUUAAGAACCACCGAGAUAUUGCCAAAAUUAUAAGCCCUGUUCUCCAGUACGUCUUGGGAGGCAAUAAGUAAUGACACCAGACACACAUCCUUCCCAUCUAGGAUUUCCUUCCUAAUGGAGUCUGGGACGGAGUGAGCUGGUGACACGAAAUGCGACAUGACUGGAGCAGGAGCUGGAGGGGGAAGUGUAGGGACGGGUGUUGGUGCCAUAGGUACAGCCGGGAUUGGGGCUAUAGAAACAGGAAGGUUACCUGGGGAGGCUAUGGCACUUUCCACCUUGCUUAACCUGCUGUUUAAGGUCUGCAGGUUGGCCAGGAUUGCCGCAAGGGUGUCCUGGGUGGCAAUGCCAGCGCCAGAAGCUUGACUUUGAGAGCUUGUGCCUGGCCUAGGCUCUGGGGCUUGGUUGGUCAACAGUCUGUAUAAUUCCGCCUUUCGGG